rnacentral:rRNA from 1 species
UACGAAGGGUGCAAACGUUGCUCGGAAUUAUUGGGCGUAAAGCGCACGUAGGCGGCUUGUCGCGUCGGAUGUGAAAGCCCGGGGCUUAACUCCGGGUCUGCAUUCGAUACGGGCAGACUGGGGGUAUGCAGGGGAGAACGGAAUUCCUGGUGUAGCGGUGAAAUGCGCAGAUAUCAGGAGGAACACCGGUGGCGAAGGCGGUUCUCUGGGCAUGUCCUGACGCUGAGGAGCGAAAGUGUGGGGAGCGAACAGG